GACGAACGCUGGCGGCGUGCCUAAUACAUGCAAGUCGAACGCAGUGGGGACGGGUGAGUCACACUUGCGUAACCUCCCAUCAGAGGGUAUAACACUUGGAAACAGGUACUAAACCGAUACUGAUGGAUGGACCAGCGGUGCAUUAGCUAGUUGGUGAGGUAACGGCUCACCAAGGCCACGAUGCAUAGCCGACCUGAGAGGGUGAUCUGCCACACUGGGACUGAGACACGGCCCAGACGCCUACGGGAGGCAGCAGUAGGGAAUCUUGGGCAAUGGACGAAAGUCUGACCGAGCAACGCCGCGUGAGUGAAGAAGGGUUUCGGAUCGUAAAACUCUGUUGUUAGAGAAGCGGUAUCUAACCAGAAAGCCACGGCUAACUACGUGCCAGCAGCCGCGGUAAUAC
rnacentral:rRNA from 1 species